CCUCGGGAGUUAGGUGAAAGUCCUAACCGGUGGUGAUAAUGAUUAAUCAUUUAGCCCACGAGUCUUUCGAAAGAUUGACUGACUUGGUGUGAUUCCAAGGCCGACGGUCAAAGUCCGGAUGGGAGAGGAA
rnacentral:ncRNA from 1 species